rnacentral:rRNA from 1 species
CCCAUCAGCUAGUUGGCAGGGUAAAAGCCUACCAAGGCUAUGACGGGUAGCGGGUGUGAGAGCACGACCCGCCUCACUGGGACUGAGACACUGCCCAGACUCCUACGGGAGGCUGCAGUCAAGAAUCUUUCGCAAUGCCCGCAAGGGUGACGGAGCGACGCCGCGUGACUGAUGAAGCCCUUUGGGGUGUAAAGGUCUUUUACCAGGGACGAACAAAUGACUGUACCUGGAGAAUAAGAGGUUGCAAACUCUGUGCCAGCAGCAGCGGUAAUACAGAGACCUCAAGCGUUAUCCGGAUUUAUUGGGCGUAAAGCGUGCGCAGGUGGUUUAUUAAGUUAGUGGUUAAAGCCCAGAGCUCAACUCUGGGCGUGCUAUUAAAACUAAUAGGCUAGAGGUUGGGAGAGGCAAGCGGAAUUGCUGGUGGAGGGGUAAAAUCCGUUGAUAUCAGCAAGAACACCAAAUGCAAAGGCAGCUUGCUAGAACACACCUGACACUGAAGCACGAAAGCGUGGGGAGCGAAGAGGAUUAGAUACCCUGGUAGUCC